GUUGAACGCUGGCGGCAUGCUUUACACAUGCAGGUCGAACGGCAGCGGGGUAGUGCUUGCACUACUGCCGGCGAGUGGCGAACGGGUGAGUAAUAUAUCGGAACGUACCGAGUAAUGGGGGAUAACCAAUCGAAAGAUUGGCUAAUACCGCAUACGUCCUGAGGGAGAAAGCGGGGGAUCGCAAGACCUCGCGUUAUUCGAGCGGCCGAUAACUGAUUAGCUAGUUGGUGGGGUAAAGGCCUACCAAGGCGACGAUCAGUAGCGGGUCUGAGAGGACGAUCCGCCACACUGGGACUGAGACACGGCCCAGACUCCUACGGGAGGCAGCAGUGGGGAAUUUUGGACAAUGGGGGCAACCCUGAUCCAGCCAUGCCGCGUGUAUGAAGAAGGCCUUCGGGUUGUAAAGUACUUUUGUUAGGGAAGAAAAGGGAAGUGCUAAUACCACUUUUUGCUGACGGUACCUAAAGAAUAAGCACCGGCUAACUACGUG
rnacentral:rRNA from 1 species